GGAUUAGGCAUGCAAGUCGAACGAGAAAGGUUUCGCAAGAGACCGAGUAAAGUGGCGGAAGGGCGAGUAAUGCAUAGAUGACCUACCCUCGAGAUGGGGACAACCAUUCGAAAGGAUGGCUAAUACCCAAUAAGACCACGGGUCGCAUGGCCUGUGCUUAAAGAUGGGGACCCGCAAGGGCCUUUCGCUCGAUGAGGGGUUUAUGUCCUAUCAGCUUGUUGGUGGGGUAACGGCCCACCAAGGCUAUGACGGGUAGCCGACCUGAGAGGGUGACCGGCCGCACUGGGACUGAGACACUGCCCAGACUCCUACGGGAGGCUGCAGUCGAGGAUCUUCCGCAAUGCGCGAAAGCGUGACGGAGCGACGCCGCGUGGGUGAUGAAGGCCUUCGGGUUGUAAAGCCCUGUCGACUGGGAAGAAUGGCGGGAGGUGAAUAGCCAUCUCGUCUGACGCUACCAGUAAAGGAAGCACCGGCUAAAUACGUGCCAGCAGCCGCGGUAAUACGUAUGGUGCGAACGUUGUUCGGAAUCACUGGGCAUAAAGAGCACGUAGGCGGUCGGGCAAGUCCAUUGUGAAAUCCCCCGGCUUAACCGGGGAACUGCAAUGGAUACUACUCGGCUUGAGUGUAGAAGGGGAGAGUGGAAUUCCUGGUGGAGCGGUGAAAUGCGUAGAUAUCAGGAGGAACGCCGGCGGCGAAAGCGACUCUCUGGUCUACAACUGACGCUGAGGUGCGAAAGCUAGGGGAGCAAACGGGAUUAGAUACCCCGGUAGUCCUAGCCCUAAACGAUGGGCACUAAGUAGAGGGGUUUU
rnacentral:rRNA from 1 species